GUGCACCAGUCGAGAAAACUUUACAAUGCGAGCAAUCGUGAUAAGGAAACCCUGAGUGCCUGUCAAUGCAGGCUGUUCUGGUGUCUAACACACACCAGGAGAAAGGGCGGGGCAAGACCGGUGCCAGCCGCCGCGGUAAUACCGGCUGCUCGAGUGAUAGCCACUUUUACUGGGCUUAAAGCGUUUGUAGCUUGGUCGUUAAGUCUCUGGGGAAAUCUUUUGGCUCAACCAAAAGGCGUCUCAGGGAAACUGACGAUCUUGGAACCGGGAGAGGUAAGACGUACUUCGGGGGUAGGAGUGAAAUCUUGUAAUCCCCGAGGGACGACCGAUGGCGAAGGCAUCUUACCAGAACGGCUUCGACAGUGAGGGACGAAAGCUGGGGGAGCAAACCGGAUUAGAUACCCAUGUAGUCC
rnacentral:rRNA from 1 species